rnacentral:tRNA from 1 species
GGGGAUAUAGCUCAGUGGGUAGAGCAAUCGGCUGCAGUCCGAUAGGUCCAUGGUUCAACUCCGUGUGUCCCCU